UUCAUUGAUCAUUUCCGAAAAGAACAAGAUAUGAUGGAAAUCCGCUUAACACGCCUUGCUGCAGGUAUUUGCAACAUAGACGCGAGAAAAACUAAGUAUGAGCAACUGAAUCGACGCUUAGAAGCAUUAGUAGAAAAUUACGCAAACAUGGAACAUAUGGACUUUCUUCGUAGUAUAGUAUAUCACAUAACCUUGAAAUGUAAUUUUUGUAAAGAAUGUGAUAAGGAACAGAAACCUUAAAGGCUUGAAGUGAAUUAAAAUUAUUAAUACCAAACUGCAUUUAGAAUUUCUAUUAAUGUGUCCAUAUACAAUUUUUUAAAUGCGUUUUUUAAUAAAUAUUUUCAAAUGUCAUAAUUCGUUGUUUUUUACUAAUAUUUAGAAUUUAAUUAGCUUACCUAUUUCUUCGGGGCCAUUUUGUCGGGGUACCAGUAUAAAUGGUAUAUGCGAAAUAAAUUUUUAAUAUUUAGAAAGCUUCUUAUAGCAACUAUAAGAAGCUUUAUAAAUUUUAAAAGGGUUAUUUCUUAAAGAAUUUAAUAUUAAAAGUGAUUUGGAAGAGUUGAGGUAUGAUGAACAUGGAUCU
rnacentral:lncRNA from 1 species